AGGCACUUACCCUCCGCGGACAUGGCGCUGCGGGGGGUGUCCCGGGCGGACGGGCGGGUGGCGAGCCGGGCUCCGCGCAGGCAGGUGUGGCCGGAAUGUGGCGUUGGAAACGGAAGCGGCUUCGCCGACGAGCCCUGGAUGCUGCAGCAGGGGUUGGCAACCUCCUCCUUUCUGCGUCUCCCCCGCCAACAGGCUAGAAUAACUCCACAGCCAGCUUGCGUCACAACAACUGGUUUUCUGCAUAUAAAACCCAUGACUGACAUUAAGGGGUAGCAAGCCAGGCGGUUACCCGGGACCCCAACAAAGCUGAGCUGCUCAUGCAGCGGGACUUCGGCUUUCGGUCUAAUGCCGCUCUUCUUGGUGAACCCUCUGAAACCUGCUCAUGGGCCCUGGAACCCUGACUGACACCUACAAACUCACUGUGUUCGACCCUCAGCCUUGCUUCCAGUCUCUGCAUUUCAUAUGUGAGCAAGCCCUUCCCUCCGAACCUCCCUGUCAAGAGGGGUGUGGCAAAGAGAUGGGACCAGUGUGAAGGAAUGGAAGAGACCCCCAGGGAAAGUAGAAAUGAGUGAGAUAGACAUUCUUAAGCUUAUCACAGAUCAUUUGUAAGUGGAUCACUUUCUCACCUAAAGAUUUAGCAUGCUCCAGGAAGAUAUCAUCCAGGUGUAACAGGAUCAGAGAGACACAACAUUGCAGUAGCCUGCUCCGGAGCAACUUGAAGAGUAUAAAAGCAGCCUUCUCUCUGUCUUUUAGAUCUAUUUCUGUCUGUUACCAGAUGAUAGGAAGAGCCAGUUGGGAAAACCAAACUGGCCUUGCUGUAGCAUCAAACUAAUUAUCUAUUUGUGACUGAGAAGAAUGAUAUAAAAUACUUAAUUUUUUUUCUAUAAUGCUCACAGUAAGCAGUGCUGCCACCUUUUCUUCAUCAUCACUAUGGAAGAGGCUGAAGUGGGUAAUCCUGCCCUGGCACUGGCACCUGCUGCAGCUGUGAUGCAGAAGCACAGAAUGUUGCUCUGGGGAGAGAGGCAGCCAAUCAGGGCAGCUCGGAGGUGGUGGGGGGGAAUACAGAAUCUGCUUGAAGGGAGCGGUGGGAAAAAGCUGUUAGAGAAGGAGGAGAAGAAGCCAGAUGUGAGCUAGCGGAUGAACCGGAGCUGAGAUAGGAGGUGAGGAGAUAAAAGAAGAGCACCAGAAUAAAAGUAGGGGACUUAGAAGUGAGAUGGGGGAAAGAAGGUAAACAGGAAAGGUUUCAGGUCAGGAAAAGCAGAAAAAAGUAGGGUAUGUGAGCAGGCACUAUUACAGAAGGGAAAUAUAGGGAAAUAAAAUACGCAGACAACAGAGGGAGUAUCAAGAGGAAAAAAAAGGAAACAUAAUUGGUGAAAAAGGGAAUUGAUUAAAAAGUUCUGUUAGAUGAAAACAGAUCCUGAAAACAGUAAAUGAGAAACCUAUGAAGGACCUAAAUUAUAUGAACAUGUCACUGUCCACGCUGGCAUUUCUGUUGGUAUAAUUUAUGUAGCUCAGAAAGGUGUUUUUUUCACUCCCCUGAGCAACAAAAAAGUUAUACCAACAAAAGUGCUAGUGUAGACAUAGCCUUAGUUUCCAUUAUCCAUUCCUGCUUAUGAGUCGCUUCUAAAGCCUUUUCUGUCUUUGAAAUUGAUAAGCAUCUAGAUUAACAUAUAGGGCAGGGGUAGGCAACCUAUGGCAUAUGUGCCAAAGGCAGCACUCAAACUGAUUUUCAGUGGCACUCA